rnacentral:rRNA from 1 species
AUUGAACGCUAGCGGCAGGCCUAACACAUGCAAGUCGAACGGAGAGGCGGACGGGUGAGUAAUGCAUAGGAAUGUGCCUAGUAGUGGGGGAUAACGACGGGAAAGGGGAGCUAAUACCGCAUACUAUCAGAUGAGCCGAGGUCGGAUUAGCUAGUUGGUGGGGUAAAGGCCUACCAAGGCGACGAUCCGUAACUGGUCUGAGAGGAUGAUCAGCCACACUGGAACUGAGACACGGUCCAGACUCCUACGGGAGGCAGCAGUGGGGAAUUUUGGACAAUGGGCGAAAGCCUGAUCCAGCCAUGCCGCGUGUGUGAAGAAGGUCUUCGGAUUGUAAAGCACUUUUAGCUGGGAGGCGUUACCUGCAGAAUAAGCACCGGCUAACUUCGUGCCAGCAGCCGCGGUAAUUC